GUAGCAGACCCUCUGAGGAGCAGAUGACCAACCUCCACUGGUAGCAGACCCUCUGAGGAGCAGAUGAUAGCCCUCUACUAGUAACAGACCCUCUGAGGGAGCAGAUGACAACCUCCACUAGUAACCAGACCCUGUACAGGGAGCAGAUGACGACUUCCACUGAAAUGGCAGACCCUCUGCUGGGAGCAGGUGACGGCCUCCGCACAGUAACCAGACCCUCUACGGGGAGCAGAUGACAACCUCCACUGAAGCCAGCAGACCCUCACGGGGGCAGAUGAUGAUGACCUCUACUAGUAACCAGACCCUCUACGGGGAGCAGAUGACAACCUCCACUAGUAACCAGACCCUGUACAGGGAGCAGAUGAUGACCUCCACUGGUAACCAGACCCUCUAUGGGGAGCAGGUGACGACCUCCACUAGUAACCAGACCCUCUGUGGGGAGCAGAUGAUGACCUCCACUGGUAACCAGACCCUCUAUGGGGAGCAGGUGACGACCUCCACUGGUAAUCAGACCCUCUAUGGGGGGCAGAAUAUGACCUCCAUUGAUAACCAGGCUCUCUGUGGAGGCCAGAUGGCAACAUAUAGUGGCAACCCGACCCUCUAUGGGGACCAGAUGCUGACUCUUCAGGUGGGCAAUAUGACAAUGCUCACUAAUGACCACAGCCUUUAUGGGGGAUAUAUAUCCCAUCAGUUCUCAUCAUUGCCACACCCAGGAUUCCCAUGCUUUUCAAGUUCCCAUUUGAUUCAAGGACAAGUUCCAGAAAAGCAGAAGACACAGAGCUGCCAGUUCUGGAAGAAUCCUGAGGUUUCGAGGCCCUACAUCUGCACUUACGAGAACUGCAAGAAGUCUUAUAAAAAGGCUUGCCACCUCCGAACCCAUAUGCGCAAGCACACCGGUGAGUGAGGGCCUGGGAACGGGGUGAGGGGCAAGUGGCUACAGAUUUGUGCCUUUACAAAGCCCUGGGAGCAUUUGAGAUUGCUGCCACUUCCUUUAAGCCAAGAAUUCAAGAAGAUUCUAUAAUAGAAAAGGUUGGCACCUUCAGAAGCGGGGAUAAAGCAGUCCUAGGGACAGGCUCUAGUCUUGGACCAGAGCCAGGCUGGCUAUAGCCUUUAGUGAUGUUGACUGCUGGUUUGAUGGGAAGAAGUGAAGGGAUUUCUUUGGCCUCUUGCAGGUAGAUGUUCUUGACGCUAUUUCUACUGGGAUCGUCACUUCAUAGUGACAGCGCCCCCAGGCCUCACUUCCCUCAUCCUCCUUAUUCCCCCUACUAACUUGCCUGCCAAUAACUGUCUCUCCUCCUGUUUUUUUUUCUUCUUCUUCCUUUCCUUUUGUUCCCUUCUUCACAGUUUUCCUCUUGUCUUUCUAGCUUUUGUGGCCCUCAUUCCCCUCCUUCACUCACCUCCCCCACCUCCGUCUCCUUUGGCUCUCCCUCUCCCACUCCAACUUGCUCAAAAACUUUUUCUUGUUCACUUUCAAUGUCCCUGCCCUACCUCACCCUGAUGUAUGACGCGUCUCUCUCUCUCUGUCUGGUCCAGGGGAGAAGCCCUACAUAUGCGAUGUAGAGGGAUGUACGUGGAAAUUCACCCGCUCAGAUGAGCUCAACAGACACAAGAAAAGGCACACAGGGGAACGGCCCUACCUGUGUUCAAUAUGCAACAAGAAUUUUGCAAGAUCUGAUCACCUAAAGCAGCAUGCAAAGGUCCACAACGUUCACCCAGGAUUAUGAACCCUUCAGCCCAUGAGGAAAUGUGUACAGCUAAAAGAUUCUCCCUACUGAGUUUGUUUCCCUUGAACA
ensembl:lncRNA